rnacentral:rRNA from 1 species
AUUGAACGCUGGCGGCAUGCCUUACACAUGCAAGUCGAACGGCAGCGGGGGAGAAGCUUGCUUUUCCUGCCGGCGAGUGGCGAACGGGUGAGUAAUACAUCGGAACGUGCCCUGUAGUGGGGGAUAACUAGUCGAAAGAUUAGCUAAUACCGCAUACGACCUGAGGGUGAAAGUGGGGGACCGCAAGGCCUCAUGCUAUAGGAGCGGCCGAUGUCUGAUUAGCUAGUUGGUGGGGUAAAGGCCUACCAAGGCGACGAUCAGUAGCUGGUCUGAGAGGACGAUCAACCACACUGGGAGUGAGACACGGCACAGACUCCUACGGGAGGCAGCAGUGUGGAAUUUUGGACAAUGGGCGAAAGCCUGAUCCAGCAAUGCCGCGUGUGUGAAGAAGGCCUUCGGGUUGUAAAGCAAUUUUGUCCGGAAAGAAAUGGCUCUGGUAAAUACCUGGGGUCGAUGACGGUACCGGAAGAAUAAGGACCGGCUAACUACGUGCCAGCCGCCGCGGUAACAC